AUACGGAGGGCGCAAGCGUUAAUCGGAAUUACUGGGCGUAAAGGGUUCGUAGGCGGUUAUUUAAGUCAGAUGUGAAAUCCCCGGGCUCAACCUGGGAAUUGCAUCUGAUACUGGGUAACUAGAGUUUAAGAGAGGAGUGUGGAAUUUCCGGUGUAGCGGUGAAAUGCAUAGAGAUCGGAAGGAACAUCAGUGGCGAAGGCGGCACUCUGGCUUAAAACUGACGCUGAGGAACGAAAGCGUGGGUAGCAAACAGGAUUAGAUACCAUAGUAGUCC
rnacentral:rRNA from 1 species